rnacentral:lncRNA from 10 species
CUGAAAAGAAAAUUAAGAGUUAAUCCUUCCGUAAACUUACUAUUGAAAAAGCACAUAAGUAAUACUAGAUAUAGAAGAUAUUAAAAUGAUGUGUAUUUUUGAUAUAUAUUUGCAAAUGUAGACAAAAUGUUGACUUUUCCAUACAAAUUACCAAAGUUGAGCUAAGAAAAGUAAAAUACCUGACUAAAGAAUUAACUAUAAGAGAAACAGAAAAAAAAAUCAGAUAUACAUAUCCUUAAAAAUAGCACCAAGGCCGGGUGCGGCAGCUCAUGCCUGUAAUCCCAGCACUUUGGGAGGGCGAGGUGGGUGAAUUAUUUGAAGUCAAGAGUUUGAGACCAGCCUAGCCAAGAUGGUGAAACCUUGUCUCUACUAAAAAUACAAAAAUUAGCCGGGUGUGGUGGCGUGUGCCUAUGAUUCCAGCUACUUGGGAGGCUGAGGCAGGAGAAUCACUUGAACCUGGGAGGUGGAGGUUGCAGUUAGCUGAGAUCAUGCCACCGCACUCCAGCCUGGGUGACACAACGAAACUCUGUCUCAAAAAACAAACAAAAGCAAGCCCAGACAGCUUUACCAAACACUGAGGAGAGAAUAUAUUAUACAAAUUGAUCAAAAUAAUAGAAUAGUAUUAAAAGCCACCGACUGAGUGUGAGGCAAUGACAAGAGAUAUUAUGAAGGCUAAAUGAAAUAACCCAUGAAAGGUAAAUAAGCAUUUGUUAAAUUAAAAUAAUAAAGUUGACUAUUAAGUGCCAUGAUAUAGAUUUCACAGUGGAAUGAAAGGAUAAAAUAAUUGGGAUAAGAAAUUGCAAUUCAAGGAGCUAUUUAAGUGCAGGACCAAGAUUUUAAUUCAGCCAUAUCCUGAAAUUUUACAAUCUUUGGUCACAAUAAACUAGAAUUCCAGGUAGAAAAUGAUUAUUUUCUAAAAUAAAGAUGGUACUUAUAAACCUAUAUAAAUGCCCAUUUCUCCUCUUCAAAGUAUUUUUCUGCCCUUCCAGAAGAACUGGGCCUUGAAGUCACAGCCAGGCUCCAGAGGACUGCUGUUUCACUGGAUAUCACGCCAUUGCUUCUUCAAAAUUAUCUUCUCAGAGAAUACCAUAUUUGGGGAAUUUAAUUUACUUCUCGAGAAUCCCUAACCCAAUUAUUUCUAGUCUUCCUUAGAGAUUUUCUUUCUCCAUUAACUCCCGUAUUAUGUCUGGGAAUCUUUUACUUUCACAUAUGCUCCCUCUCCACAAUUUAUUCUUUUUUUAUCUUCUCUAAGUGUUAAGGAGUAGUAUACAUGUGUGAUAGGGAGAUGAAGGGGAAAGGCAGAAAACUGAACUUCUUACCCUCAUGGAAGUUUUGACCCCACAUUUAGAAAAAACAAGAAGUGGAGAAUAAAGGGAGAAGGACAGCAAGCAAUUUUAUUCGUUCCCAUUUUCCUGCCAAUGUGCAUUAACAAAGAAGUCUGUACCUAAAAGACCUUAUGCAAGACCAGAUUUUCACAUUACUAGCUUUGUGUGUGUGUGACAUCCUGCUUUCCGUUGCCAAGCUUAAUGUAUAUGUGUCUUAGGGUCUUUCAGUUUUUAUACUAUUAUGGCUAUGUUGUGGUAAACUGAGGAAAGGAGAGGCCAAUAUGGAAAAACAGGAGGAUUGUUGUUUAUUUUAGGUACGCACGGCUCAGCAGGUUUGCAUCUAAAAAGCUGAGCACUGAACAAAGACAGAGUGGGGUUUUUAUAAGCGGCCUUACAGACACAAAACAAAAGCAGUUAAUCAUACAGUGACAGGUCACAUAAUCUAUAGCAUAACAUAACUUGUGACCUUGCAUAGCUGGUGACCUUGUAGUUGCAUCGAAAGAAAAACAAAAACUGGCUAAAUACAGACAUUUGUAAAUAAUGCUUAAGAGGCCUGGGGAAAGAGUAAGAGUAAAAGAAUCUUUCUCUUUUUCUUCCUCCAACCUUGCUCUGGAAGGGAGGGGUGUCUGGAGCCUAUUCCUUUGACCUUGGCUAUUUGGACAGCGUUAUCUUAUAACUGUCCUUGAAGUAAGCUUGCUAGGCAGAGGAAAACUUGUUCUCUUCUUUUUAACCCUUGCCUUGCCACAUUCUGGGCCUUAGCUUUUACUUUUCUUGGAGUGAAUAAAUGCAGUACUUAUUAUUUAUUUGUUUUAAAUUUCUGCCUCAGCUGUGAGACUGGUAAUAAUCAUUCAUUUAUUUAUUUAUUUAUUUAUUUAUUUAUUUAUUUAUUUAUUUUUGAGACAGGGUUUCCCUCUGCCACCCAGGCUGAAGUGCAGUGGUGCGAUCUUGGCUUACUGCAGCCUCUGCCUCCUGGGCUCAAUUGAUCCUCCUACUUCAGCCUCCUGAGUAGCUGGGGCUACAGGCGUGUGCCACUGGCUAAUUUUUGUAUUUUUUAUAAAGAUGAGGUUUGCCAUGUUGCCCAGGCUGGUCUCCAACACCUGGCUCAAGUGUCUGCCUACCUUGGCCUCCCAAAGUGCUAGGAUUACAGACAUGAACCACCGCACCUGGCCAAUAAUUACUUCUGAAGAUUCUGACAAUACCAUUUACAAUAACACAAAAAUGAAGGACCUAAGAAUACAUCUAACACAUCUAGAGAGAAUAUUAUAAUAUUGUUGUGAGACAUUAACAGUGACAUAAAUAAAUGAGAGUUAUACCUUGUUUAUGGAUUGGAAAGUCAGUGUUGGAAUGAUAUCAAUCCUCCCUAACCCUCUCCCUCCCGCCCCUGCCCCAAAAAGAUCGACAGAUUUAGUGCAUUCCCACUCCAAAUCCAAUAGUUUUCUCAGGAGAAUUUGACAUAGUUGAUCUCUCUUUCUUGAGACGUUUUAUUCUCUGUUUUCCCUCCUACCUCACUGGUACUCCUUAUCAAUAUCCUUUGCUACCACCUCUUCUACGCAACCUCUAAAAUGUGGCAUAUUUCAUGGCUCAGCCUUAGACCUUUUUCUAUCUGUACUUCCCCCUUACAUUGUUCUUUCUAGUCCCCUGACUCUAAAUACCACAUCUAUAUGAUGAUUGGCAAAUUUGUAUCUCUAGUCUAGGAUUCUUCAUAUAUCCAUUGCUUUUUCAAGAGUUACACUUAAAUGUCAAAUAGGAAUCUUAAAAUGUCCAAUAUGAAACAUUCGCUUCUUGCUACCCCGUUCCCCUCCUCCACCAACUUGCUGUUUCAAUUCUGUCAAUGGAAUAUUUAUUGCUUUGACCCAAAAUCUACGUGUUCCCCCCCCUUCUCUUUCUCACAUUCCCUACAUCUAAUCAAUAAGAAACUUUGUUGACACUUCCUACAAAACAUCUUCCAAAUGUGACCACUCUCAAUAGCUCCACUGUUACCAUGUUAGUCCAGGCUGCCGCUGCCUCUCACCUAGACUCCUAACUGGUCUCUUUGCUUCUACUGUUGUCUCUCUACAGCCCGGGGAAUCUGUCUCCAACUAAGCCUGGUGGCAGUGAGGACCGUCAGCCCCCUCCCAGCCAGCUGUCAGCUAUACCUCCAUUCUGUCUGGUUCUCAGGGCUGGAAUCGCUGGGCAGGUCUAGCUAAUCCUUGGCCCUCCUAGGAAAAUGUUCCUAAAUCCUGAAGGCAUUUAGCUAGGAAAGAUCCAGAAUGGACCCAACUAUUCCUGUUUUACCCCAAACCGGUUGGUCUGCUUUGGGGAUUACUUCUCAGGCUAGGAACCUCUGAGUGUUCUGAAACGGGCCUGAACUCUUACAGAAGCUCUUGUGGCCCUAGGAUGAAUUUAGAGGUCUCCAUACCCAGCCUGCAAGGUGAAGAACUACCCCUAACGACCCACCCUCCCAACCUAAUGCCGGUUCUGCUCCACUUGUCCACUCUGGGGAGCUGUGCUUUGGCUUGGAAGCUCUCGGAUUGAAGGAUGGGCCCAAGACCCUCACAGGUGAAGCCUCGGAUGGGCCGUGGGCCCUUGUGGGUGAAGCUCGGCGGUUCCCGAGUCCAUGUGGGGUGGCCCCUGCGGAGCCUGGAGCCUUCUUGCCCGCUGGCUUGCUGAUCCCGCCGAGCCAGCUCCCUUCCUGCUUUUGACGGUGAGGGAACCAGCUGGGAGGUCCUCCGAGCUGGACGGGGAGGCGGGCGGCCUCUCCCACUCCCCACCCGCUCCCUCCCUGCCGCCGCCGCCUCCGGCUGCUCUUGCGACAAGCCAAGAAGCUGGGGCGCCUGCUGGGAGCCCAGCGCCGUCCUCCCGUUUCCUGUGAUCUACCAGUCCUCCUCUCCGCGGAGGCUCGGCCGGGGGCACCUGAGGCCGGCAGCAUCCCCGUGGCUUGGCGGCAGCUGCAACCUCCACAGACGGCCGCCAGGUGGCGCCGCGCCGGGGCCCGGGAGCAGGCGGGCCCGGGGCGGGGUUGGAGGGACUCAGCUACGCGCCUGGGGAGGCCGCGGGCCCUCGCAGACUACCGAACUUCCAUUCUGCCGCCGGGUUUUCACACCUGCCGGCCCCGAGGAAACAAUGACGUUGGGAUUUUGGGGGGCCGCCCCUUGACUCGGGCGAAUGGGACACGAACGGCGACCCCUUGCUCUCUUCCAUCCGCCUGCCGCCGUUGCUGCCCACCGACUCCUACAGCUCAUUUCUCGCUCCUGCAGGCUCCAGGAAUGCAAAUAAUUUCUCACUGGGUUUUGGCGGGGGCGCGGAGCUGCGGCGAAGCGCGCGCCCGACAGCUUUCGCCGCAGCUGGGUCCCCGGGCGCUGGCGGCUGCGGCCCCCAGAUACGGGCGGAGGCUGCAAUAUGCACAUGCGGCCACAGUGUGGCGCCAGGGGCCCGCCGCGGGACACGCUCGGAGCGCGACGCCCCAUCCCAUCAUUUACGGAUCAAACCAAAUAAUCUAGAAUCAAGUUGCUGUGUGUGUCAUACUCCUCCUGUUUUUUUUCCCUAAACUUUUAGUAGAGUCAUUUACAUAGUUCAGUUUUUACCUCAGCUGUUACACAGUGGCAGGAAAAUAUUUUGUCUCCAAACUACAGCCCAAGUAUGAGAGCAGCGUAUCCUGAAGCUAAUUAGUAACCAGAAAAUCAGGAAGGUAAAGCAAAUCUCUGGAGGCAAGAUCUGGACUCUAUGAUAUCGCCGCUUCUCCCCACUUGAAGCGUCUCUUUGCAGUGCCGCACUUGGAGAUUUGGACUUAAUCGUUAAACAAAAAGAACAGUUACAUUCUGCCUUCCUACAGGGCAGGGGCCUAGGACUGGCAGCAUUUUUGUUGUCUCUAGAAAUAGAGGGGUUAUGAGAGAGCCUCAAAAGAGAGGGCAAGAAUAACACAUCCAUUUCUCAUCAUGAGUUACCCCCUUGUAUGCCUAGAACGCGUAUGGAGACAUUCUCUUUUAGUAAAGUCAAAGAGAAAAGCCAUGAACUAAGUAUCCUGAACACAGAGGCGUGAGCCCUCUCAGUCUCACAGUCCCUUAGGAGUCAUUUAUCUCAGAAGUUGGUUGAAACAAAAACAGUUCAUACAGCAUGGUAGGCAGAAUUCUAAAAUGAUCCCAAUGACUCACUCCCUUGCAUAAUCCCCUUGAGUGUGGGUGGAACCUAUGACUUGCUUCUAGCCAACAGAAUAUGACAAGGGUGAUGAAAUGUCACUCUUGGGAUUGCUACAUUAUGUAAGACUCUAUCUUAGCAGUCUGGAUGGAAAGUCUCCUCCUGAACUUGAAGAGGUAAGCUGCCACGCCAGGAGAGGGCCUACAAGAGUGCCACAAGGCAAGGGCCUCUAGGAGCUGAGAGUGGCCCCCCACUGAUGGGCAGCAAGAAAGCAGGAACCUCAGUCCUACAACCACAAAGAACUGAAUUCUGCCAGUGACCUUGUGAGCCUGGAAGAGCUGCAAAAAGAAACACAGCAAAGUCAACACCCUAACUGCAGCCUUGGAAGACUCUCAGCAGAGCACUCAGCUAAGCUGUGAUGGGAGUCCUGACCCAUGGAAACUGGAAGAUCUUAAAUGUAUGUUGUUGCUAAAUUUGUUACACAGCAAUAGAAAACAAAUACACUCCAACUCUUGACAAAUUUGUUAAUAGGACCACGCAUCCUGAGACAAACACACAGAAGGGCAAACAUCCAGAUAUAAACAUCCUACUACAUUGAUAUGAAUACUCACAUAUGUAAGAUCAAUGAUAUCACUAGCAAAACAAGCUCCAAGUCAAUGGGUUUUUCCUUUCGACAAACACCUCUACACAUAACCAAAAAUGCUUCAACUACUUUUCUUUUCUCCAGAGGCAGUUGGUUUGGCUAAGUAAAAAUGGGGUUCUUAGGAGACUAAGGCGGAAAAGAGACAAUAGUGCCUUUUUCCCCUCCAGAACUUAUCUAAGAAUGGAAGGCAGGUGUUUCUAUGCUAUACAUAGCAUGAAUUUUACAGUCAUGGAUACUGAUAUAAUGCUUCCAAAUAGAAUUAAUUCUCUUCCCUCCCUUAUUCCCACCCACAGCCAGCAGAUGCUGAAAGACUGCACUGUCCAAACACUGCCAUCUUUGCUUUAUAUAUCCAAAAGAGUGGGAAAUGCUGUCACAUCUCCAUCAGAAACUGUCAAACACUAGUAAUGGUAGAAAAUAUCUGAAUGACACAAUUAAUAGGCUUGAUUUUGUGGAUGCUCUACUUUAGAAAGAAAAUUCAUAUGCUUUUCAAACACACAUGCAAUAUUAGAAAAAUUAAGUGUGAACUAGGCCACAAAGCAAUUUUCAACAAAUACUAAUGAACUGAUACCAUGUUUAACACAAAUUCUAACCAAAGUGCUAUAACAUUAGAAAUCAAUAACAAAAAACUACCCUCCAAAAAACAUCUAAGUAAUUCAUGAAUAAAAUAAUGUAUAACAGAAAUUUAUGAGUUUUAAACUUAAAUGGUAAUGGUAGUAUUAUAUAUCAAAACUCACGAGAUGCAGCUUUUAGCAGACAUUACUAAUUUCCUACUCAACAAUCAUUCCCCUACCUUCAUGACUUUGGUGUCAGCCAUAUGAUUAGGGCUCGGGUCCACCAACCAGCUGCAUUUUCUUGGUCUUAGCAUAUACUGAUUAAAUUGAAAUGACUAAGAGUCAGUGAGCUGCAAUUGAAUUCCCCAUGGCUGACUGUGGCGGAACAUUUUAAAAUAGGGCAUAGACAGCACCAACCAAAAAUGUUGGUGUAUUGUACUGUAGUAAAAUUAACAAGUCUUGUUCAUUGAAAACAAACAAAACUUUAAUAUUAUAGUGAAAAGAAAAGCCACAGAGUGGGAGAAGAUAUUUAAGACACUUGAAAAAGGACUUAUAUCCAGAAUAUAUAAAUAACUCCUAUAAGUCAGUAAGAAAAAGACAGACAAUAGAAAAAUUAUCAAAAAGAGCUUACAAAAAAGGAUACCCAAAUAGGUAAUAAACGUGAAAAAUGGUCAAUAUCAUAGUCAUUAGGGAAAUGCUUAAUUUGCAUUUGUAUAUCCAAAAGAGUGGGAAAUUGUAACAUACCUCCAUCAGAUACUGUCGAACAUUAGUAAUGGUAGAAAAUAUUUGAAACAUGUAAACAAAAAUAUCCACAGCAUUACUAUUUGUAAGUGGUCAAAACCAGAAGCAACCCGAGCCCCUCAGCAGAAUGGGAAAAUAUGAAAUAUACAGUAAUAAGAACAAAUGAACUUCAAUUUACAACAUGUAUACUGUUCACAAUCAUAAUGUUGAGAAAAAUAAACCAGACACAAAAGAGUACAUCCUGUCCCAUACCGUAGCCCUUUAUAUGAAGUUCAAAAAUAGGCAAAAAACCUAUGGUGCUGGAAGUCAGUGUCAGGGGUGGACUAGAAAUGGGCAAGAAGGAGUUUCUGAGGUGCUGGAAAUGUCUAAAAUAGAUCUGGAUGCUGUUUACUUUGAAAAAAUUUACUGUGGCGUACAUUUAUGGCUUGUUGUACAUAAGUUAUAUUUCAAUGAAAAUUCACAUUAAAAUGUAAUGUAAAAAAGAUAUGAUUCUCAGUAAGUCACUGAUGCUGAGUGUCCUAGAGUCUGUGUAGAGGUAAAGAAAAUGGGCUCUUCCCAGCCCUAGUCCUUUUGUUGUCACUUGAACCAUGAAACACUUCUGCUUGAAUUACCCAAAGUGUCUUGUUGAAACAGCUCUGUCAGAGGUUGCAGUGAGCCAAGAUCGCACCACUGCAUUCCAGCCUGGGCAACGGAGUGAGACUCUGUCUCAAAAAAAAAAAAAAAAAAAAAAAAAAAAAAAAAAAAGGGAAACAGCUCUGUCAGCUUCCCUAACCUCUCCAUCCUAAGAACUUAUUUACAGAGACCUAAGGGACACAUGAGGAACAUCAAGCCUUCCCUCAGACAUUCUCAACAUUUCCUUGGCUAAAACACAUUUCCUCUAACAGCAACCAUGUCUGCAUAAAGGCAAUUUUGCCUCCAGUGUGGAUUAACUUUUGCAUUAUCAUUUUUAAAGAAGUUUAAACUCAUCACUUCUGAAUAACUAAAUAAUACAUUUGGUUAUUUUGUCUUGCAUAUUGAAUGAAGCAUUUUUCCCUGAAGAAUAUUGCAGUCUCCAUCUCUUGAUGAAUAGAAACUCCUUACAGGUUUAAGUGGGUGGUGGGCUUUUCUGCUUCCACUUAUUAAAAUAUGACAAUAAUUCCAUGUCCAGAAUAUUAUCUUACAGAUACCCUAUGAAAUGUGCCCCCGGAAUGUAUGUAUAAAGAUAAUUAUUGCAGCAAUGCUUGUAAAAUC